rnacentral:lncRNA from 1 species
CCCCCGCACCGUCGCUCCCCGCCCUCUCUCCCCUGCCGCUGGAGGCAGCCAAUCAGAAGCCUCCUUCCUCCGCCCGCGUGACCAGCUCCGCCUGGGUGCAGCGGAAGGUGUAGAGGGAUGAGGUAGGUCCCUGCGGCGGUGGAGGGAUGUGCGGGCGGGCUAGGAUUCUGUGGUUGAGCCUGCGGCCUCUGGGGCCGCGAGUUUGAAUCCUGGUUGCAGCUCUUCCACUUACUAGCUGUGUGGCCAUGGAUAAGGUGCCCAUCCUCAGUUUCUCCGUCUGCAAAAUGAAAACGACUUUUUAGUGGUGUUGUGGACCCAUGAGAUGACGCAUGGAAGCAAGGGCGCAGUCGCUGUAGCUUGCUUUAUUUAUGAGAGAAAAGGAGCUGCCCAGGUGAGAGCACAAAGACCCGAGAAAACAGACCCAGAAAAGAUGGUUUUGGUUGCGGGCUAGGAAGGAGACGUGGCAGAUGAAGCUGGAGAAGUCCGAAGGAGUCCUUAAGUUUUGUAGGGCCUCCUUGGUGUGGGAAGGAGGUUAGUUUCUGCAGGGGUGAAGAACCAUGCAAGGGUAUUUAGCAGAGGGUUUUGUGCAGAUCACUCAGCUCCUGCGUGGAGAAUAAGGCGGGGAUGAAUGUGCUAAAGGCGAUCGAUGUUUAGGUAUUGCAGGACUUAAGAGAAGGGAAUGGGCACCUGGAUGAAAGGGUGAUAGGAGGUGGACAAUGGUGGAUUGUUUUAAAAGAAAUUAUGAGGGAGAGGGAGUCAAGGAUAAAUAUUCUGGUUGAGUAACUGCAUGCAUGUUUGUACCUUUCAGGGAGAGCUAGGAAAUGCUGAAGGGGUGGGCAGUAGAGAAGCAGAUGUUUAGAUUCAGACAGGCUCCCAACCCAGUGAAGAUCAAAGCUGUGACAGGCCAAGCCCCACAGUAUCUGAAGUUUCCCUGGAGGCUGCUCAGGGCACAUGGGAGUGUGGAAUGUAGCUACCAUUUUGUGCAAACGUUAGGUACUCCAUAAGCCUCUAAAAAAUUAGCAAUUUUAUGAGGACCUCGGACCAGAAGAAUGUGGCCAGCAUUCCAGUCAAGACAGGAUAGGAUUUUCACUGAAGCAGCCCAGUCUUUUCCUUCAACCAACUGAGAGGCUCCAAUAAAGUCUUGGGUAUUUACCCAGACCAGCCAAGGCUUUGGAGUCACUGGCAGGAAUCUGGGUAUCUAACUGUUUUCAGAGCAGAAGAAUAGGUGGGAAGGGAACGGCUGUGGAAGACACAUGCAUUUCCACUUCCUUCUGUAAAUGCAGCUCAGUACUCCCGGAUGCAAUGAUGUCUAGGAUUUGCUUCAAAACACAACAAAGGGAUGGGGAAGCAGAUGGGAGUGUAGAUGAGUCAAAAGUGGCCACAAGUUACUAAUUGUUAAAGCCACGUAAUGGGGAUGUGGAGAUUCGUCGUACUGUCUCUAUAUUUUUGUGGAUGUUUAAUGGGGAUGUGGAGAUUCAUUGUACUGUUUCUAUAUUUUUGUGGAUGUUGAAAAAUAUUUUCUUUUUCUUUUUUUUUU